rnacentral:rRNA from 1 species
GUGGGGAAUAUUGGACAAUGGGCGCAAGCCUGAUCCAGCCAUGCCGCGUGAGUGAUGAAGGCCCUAGGGUUGUAAAGCUCUUUCACCGGUGAAGAUAAUGACGGUAACCGGAGAAGAAGCCCCGGCUAACUUCGUGCCAGCAGCCGCGGUAAUACGAAGGGGGCUAGCGUUGUUCGGAAUUACUGGGCGUAAAGCGCACGUAGGCGGGUAUUUAAGUCAGGGGUGAAAUCCCGGAGCUCAACUCCGGAACUGCCUUUGAUACUGGGUACCUAGAUUAUGGAAGAGGUAAGUGGAAUUCCGAGUGUAGAGGUGAAAUUCGUAGAUAUUCGGAGGAACACCAGUGGCGAAGGCGGCUUACUGGUCCAUUACUGACGCUGAGGUGCGAAAGCGUGGGGAGCAAACAGGAUUAGAUACCCUAGUAGUCC